CUGACCUCAAGUGAUCUGCCCGCCUUGGCCUCCCAAAGUGCUGGGAUUACAGGCGUGAGCCACCACACCUGGUGGGAGUAGAUCUUAGAGGGCCUUUUAAGCCAGGCUUAGGAACCGAGAGUUUAUUUUGAGGGCAGUGGGGAGCCAUUGAAGGUUUUAAAUGGAGUUAGGAUGUGAUCAGAUUUGCAAUUUUGAAAGAAUACUCUGACUGGAGGGUGAAGAAAGAAUUGGAGAGAGGUCUGAGAAGAGGCAAGGGGGCCAGUUAGGAUCCACGGGCAAGAUGGUAGCAGUGAGAAUGCAAAGAGGUAGAUGAGAUUUUCAGGAGAAAGACUUGACAGCACAGAACUAGAUAGGGCGAGGUGAGGUAGAGAUUGCAGAAAGUCAGAGGCGAGUCCCAGCUUUCUAGCUUGGGCAGCCGAGUGGGCGAUGGAGCCCUUGACUAAGUAGCCAGGGAGGGAGGAGACACUGAGGUCAGUUGUGGGUGUGAUUUGAAGUGCCUGUUGGAGAUGGGUUAGAGAUGUCUGGCUGGCCCCUCUGAGCUCCAGGAUGGAGGCCUGGUUGGGAGGCAGUGCAGGCAAGUCACGCCCUGUGCCUUCUUCCCACACAGCCUCGGCCUCACCAUGUGUGUCAGGAGCUGUUUCCAGUCCCCCCGUCUCCAGUGGGUGUGGAGGACAGCCUUCCUGAAACACACCCAGUGCAGGCACCAGGGGUCCCACCGAUGGACGCACCUUGGAGGCAGCACCUACAGAGCGGUGAUUUUCGACAUGGGCAGAGUUCUCAUUCCUUCUCCAGGGAGAGUCGCUGCAGUCAUACAGGAGUAUGGAGUGAUGAACACAGGAGUGAUCCAUGCAGACUUUGUUUGGGGCACAAGAAGUGCCGACGCGCACAUCUCCAUCAUCAGGGAUAUCAGUAAUGUUAUGGGCAUCCAUGCUCCAGCACCAGUCAUUGUCAUGAGGGACCUGGAUCACUGUAUGUUGAGCUUUGACUCGUGGUAAGGAUUGAACACCUGUACAUAUGAGUUUCCCACAAAAUACAUUAUCACCUGAACAUAUAACAUAUGUUUGCUGAUCCUCAGUGGGACGGCCACAGUUUCCAAACCGGUCUCCUCUGGUAUUUAUUGAAAUGUAACAGUCUUCCGGGGCAGAUCUUGCAGGGUACCCAUAUAUAUUCACACAUUGGUUAUCAGGGUUCUUACACUGACCCCCAGAGCAAUAGUGAAUUCUAUCAUACAACGUGCCAUCUUGCUUGUAGCUGUCUGCAGGGCAUUCUGCAGAGCUACCGUCACAAUAUUCUGGGAGGUCACACUCAUCCUGAGUAGGACGGCAUAAAAACCCCUUCCUUCUGAAAGUGCAGCCCAGACAGCAGAGGCCAUGGCUGCACUCAACAUUCUCCUUCAGAGUACAUGUGGCAUCACAGCAUGGGUCGAGGUGACAGGCAGAACCACAGUCACACUGCUCUGUGUCCUCCACCACACCAUUUCCACAGGCAGAAUCCCUACGCUUGCGGCCCCUGGGCCAUGGCUUGUUAAAUAGGCAGGCCCCUUUGUGUUCUCGAAGGAACUGGUAGUAGUAGUCAGAGCUGCAGUUGCUGAAGCCACUUUCUUUUGUGAUAUUUUCAUGCAUGAGGCAAAAGUGCUUAUCUUUACAAAAGCAGGCCGAGUGGUCGUGCUGAAUACCCAGGUUGUGCCCGAGCUCAUGGGCCAUCAGGGCUGCAAACAACAGCGCAUCUUCAUGAUGGAAGGAUUCAACAGCUGCCACAAAACCGCUUGAGCAGGCACCACUGAGAAAGGCCUGGCCCAUAUUCUGUCCAGGGUGAUGCCCAACGAUCAUGUGGGCAACAUCGUGUUUUGCGCGAUGGAAGAGCAUCUCUUGUCUCCAGUGAUUGAAAUUCCUGAGUGUGAUUUGCAAGUCCACUGUGACAUCUAUUAGGUCCCCCUCGGUCCAAAUCUCCAUUCCAGCCAGCACCACCUCUGUGUUUAUUCCCCUAGUGAAGCUGUUGGCCAGAGCAAUGACAUCCACUACUGUCUGGACCGUCUCAUUGACGUUACUGCCCCACAUCUGGAACCGCUGGUUGUUGACCACGACAAACAUUUCCACGUACUUUUUGUGUGACCACAAGUAGGACAGCGCCUGUAGAUCAUGAGGCUUCCUGCUCCCUUGUUGCCAGCUAGUAGACACCACAUGGCUGUCUCUGGAAGUGACACCACAGGAGACUCGCGCUUGAUGUGCCAUGGUGUAUAACACAUGUUCAAACCGUCUUGAAGAGUCCAUGGGCUCACUGCUGUAAGAUUUUUCCUCCUUAAUCAGGAUGCCCCUGAGACCUGCACAGAUGUUGACAGAAACAAAAGAACCUGACACUCCUUCUAUGUAGCCUUCAUAGUGGCAGUCAUGUGAGAUGAAAGGCGAUUCUUGCCCCAGGAGGCCAUUGUGGUAACUGUAGACUGGAAAGUUAUUCACAAAAUGGUUUCUCUUCACCUUCAGAUGAACCAGGUGCUUCUGGCCUUGCAUAAGUAACAAGUAGGACAGUCCUUCCACUGGGAUAUCUCCUCCCUGGACUGUCAGCCUCUUUGGAAUAAUUAUUUCAUAGAAAGAGUAAUAGAUUGAUCCCAGGUGACAGUACAUGCUUGGCACAAAAAUCACCAAAAGCAUCAAAAUCUCUAACCUGAUACAUGAAGGUCCUGGUACUAGCCCCAGCCUUAAGUUCCACUUCUGUGGAGCCCAAGUUUGAAACUUUAUCUUAGCCUCUUCCAAGGCCACUUGGUUUUUCCAUAAAGCAGGAUGUUGGCAGAGUCUUUUAAUAAUGCCACCAGUGACAUGGCCCAAAUAAAUCAGUUAAUGAUUCUGGGCCUAUGUCCAUCAGCAGAGCUCUCCCUCGCACACAAACCCUCGGAGGCUCAGGUGUUAGUCUCAGAUCUACGCUGGCUCCCUUAUUGGCAGUUCUUGCCCAACUCUGAUUCUUACAGAACUUCAAGCCGUGUUUCUCUUCCUGCUUCUCUCCUGGCCUUCGGCAGUUUCUUUAGUAUGUCUUCCUUCCAACAGCAACAACUUUAAUCUUCCUUAGUUAUAUUCCUUUUACUUUCAUGGGAAGAUAUUCCAAGUAGAAGGCCUGUAGUGAUCCAGCCAGUACUGUAACUCAGGCAAAUUAUUCUUUAUCCUCAGCUCAGGCCACACAACUUGAUAUCCGUUAAUCUGCUCAUUCUUUGAAACCCAACAUUCUGUCAGGGGGUGGGGGGAAGGGGGCAGGGCUUCUCUGGGGAUCUCUGAAAAGGUCAAAGUUCUUUGUGGCCCACUGCCUCUUUCCCUCAUUUCUGCAGUUUUCAGGGUACCAUUUCUCAGUUCAACUCUCCUUUGUCAGUGUCUGGUUUUUUUUCUUUAAUUCAAGAAAAUCUGUAUGUGGAUGUUCAAGUUUUCCCUCAUUAUCGUUGGUUCAUAACAAAUGAGUUUAGAUAUUUUAUAUCUGCAUAUAAUCUUCUCUACCAAGUUUUCCUAAUGCACGGAUAUAUUAUGUGUUAAGUAAAAUGGGCUCAAGUUUCACCAUGGGAGUAUAUAAAGGAUCAGGAUCAAAGUUCAGUUCCUCCAACUGCCCUAACAUAAAAACAAAGUGUGGGGCCCGGGCACGGUGGCUCACCCCUGUAAUCCCAGCACUUUGGGAGGCCGAGGCAGGCGGAUCACCUGAGGUCGGGAGUUCGAGACCAGCCUGGCCAGCAUGGUGAAACCCCGUCCCUACUAAAAAUGCAAAAAUUAGCGGGGCGUGGUGGCAGGCGCCUGUAAUCUCAGCUACUCAGGAAGGUGAGGCAGGAGAAUCGCUGGAACCCAGGAGGCGUAGGUUGCAGUAAGCCGAGAUCACACCUUUGCACUCCAACCUGGGCAACAGAGUGAGAAUCCGUCUCAAAAAAAAAACUGUGGGGUCAAAAUAAAAGCUGACUAACCAGGUGUCUAGUUAACAUUUCAUCAAGAAAAGAAAACUGGGCUAUAUAAGAACUUUUAAAAGAUUUCUUCGGUUUGGAACUAAAAUUGACCUGAAAUGUCUGUGGAAGUCCUUGAAUUUGGUUUUGAUGUCAAUUUCCUUGGUGUAUUUAGCAGUACAAAUUUAAAAGGAAAAGAAGCCCUAUGCACCCAUUCCUUACGCAGUUAUUCUGUGCAUUCUAGAUGAAGAAAAAUAAAACUCUACAUUUUUUAUCUUGUAUAAUUUUACAGCAAGUCAAAUAUUUACAACAUGAGACCUUUCAAAUAUGAGAUACGACUACAGAAAGGAAUGUAAUGGUAGCAUAAGAUCUUAGAUAACAGCAUGAGAGCAGAUCAAUUUAUUCACUAUUCCUAUUAAAUAUUUAAUUCCUAAUACAGAUAAUACAAUGUAUCAUUAGCAUCUAGCAAGAAAAUUUAUACUGUCACAAACCCACUAAAAAAAUUUACAGCAAGAAAAGUGAAAUGAUUUCCAGCUGUAUUUCUUCUUGUGAUUUAUGUAAGCGCAAAGCUUCUUAAAAUUAUAUUUUGAAAAUUAUCACAGAUUUUAGGGUGUUUCCCUGUUUCUUAACCAAAAUAGGCAGCGCAAAUUAGGUUAAGCCAUUUGGUGGGAUAAAAGAAGAUUCAAUAAUGGAAGAACAUUCUACUCUUUAAAUAAAUAAUUAAAAUGAAAUAUCCAAUUUUCUAAUUCUCAAAUUGAAACGUAUUUUCUUCAAUAAAUACAUGCACAUACACAUACCCACACACAAGACCUUAUUUAAAUCUUUUGGCUUCUUUGACCAACAAUUACCAUUUCUUCAACUCAUUUUUUCUCAAAUGAAUACAAGCAACAUAAACUCUUUUUAAAGAGUAAUUCCUGCCAGGCACAGUGGUUUGCUCCUGUAGUCCCAGCUACUUAGAAGGCUGAGGCAGGAGGAUUGCUUGAGCCCAGGAGCUUGAGUCUAACUUGGGCAACAUAGCAGGAUCACGUCUCUUUUUUAAUUUUAUUUCUGAGAUGGAGUUUCGCUCUGUCACCCAGGCUGGAGUGCAAUGGUGCGAUCUCCACUCACUGCAACCUCUGCCUCCCAGGUUCAAGCAAUUCUCCUGCCUCAGCCUCCCGAGCAGCUGGGAUUACAGGCAUGUGCCACCAUGCCUGGCUAAUUUUUUUAUUUUUAGUAGAGACGGCAUUUCACCAUGUUGGCCAGGCUGGUCUUGAACUCUUGACCUAAGGUGAUCUGCCCGCCUCAGCUUCCCAAAGUGCUGGGAUUACUAAAGGCAUGAGCCACCACGCUGAGCCUCAUCUAUGUUUCAAACAGUAAAUUCAGACUGGCAUUCUCCUAUAUUCAUACAUAUUAGUCAGAGAGAGACAAGUUUUUUUACUACAUCAAGCUGACUUUUAUAACUGUGGUAAAGUCUAAAAGUAUCUGAUUGACCAGUAAUGGCUUUAGUAAGCAGAAGGUUAAUAAAUCAUGUAGGCAAACAGGAGAGCAUAACCUGCUGCUUUAUAAGAAUUAUAUUUACAGUGUUAUGUUUCCACAGGUAUAGGUGUUUGUUAGGCCAAAAAAUAUGAGAAAGAUAUCGUUUCACUUCCAGUUAUGUGCAAAUUUCGAGUAGCAAACCUGACAGUUAUGUUAAAGCAGAAUUUACUGCUGGACUAGGAAUAUACAAACAAAACUCCACUUCGAAGACCAAGCCAUGCUGAGUCCCUUGGGAGCUACUGUUUUUUUUCAAGGUAUGCUGUUGCAUUACAACAGCUGGGGCAUCCUCCAGUGUGUUCACAAACUUCCAGCUUGGUGCUCAUUUGGAUGUGUCUGGACACAGCACUUACAUUGAGGGCAUGAAUUCAGCUUGAAGUGACUGAAACACGGGCAACAGAUGCUCAGAGUCAAAGGGAGUAUCACUUUGGAUACCUUUUCCAUCGCACCUAAAAUUCAGCAUACACUGAAGGAAAAAAUAAUCAUCCUGAGCCUUUUUAGAAGACACUCAAGUCACAAAUUUAAGAAGUUAUGGAUAUAAUGGAUAUGCUAGAAUAUUCCUCUAAAGAAGGAGAAGAGUAACAAAGGUAAUUACUGUUUUUUUCUCCCCAUGGAAUACUGAACCUCUGCCCUAAGAUAGGAAAACUACAGUUGUUCUAAUAUUACACAAACAAGUGCAGUAUUCCUAACUGUAAGAAGUGAUCUGUAAGAUUUGCAUUUCACUGAAAAAAACAACAGGCACUUAAUUCAACUCUCAGUCAAGUUUUCUGGUCAGUAAAUUUAAAAACAUUGGUUUUUCUUCUGUUGCUGGUUAGAUUUUGCCAUCAUGAAAAGUAUUCAGGUCGCGCACGGUGGCUCACGCCUGUAAUCCCAGCACUUUGGGAGGCCGAGGUGGGCGGAUCACGAGGUCAGGAGUUUGAGACCAGCCUGGCCAAUAUGAUGAAACCCCGUCUCUACUAAAAACACAAAAAUUAGCUGGGCGUGGUGGUGUGUGCCUGUAGUCCCAGCUACUUGGAAGUCUGAGGCACGAGAAUCGCUUGAACCUGGGAGGCAGAGGUUGCAGUGAGCCAAGAGCAAGCCACUGCACUCCAGCCUGGGGGACAGAGCGAGACUCUGUCUUGGUGGCAGCAGCAUGGGGGGUGGGGGGGAGACAUAUUCUCCUUACAGGAAAUCCAUUUAUAACAAUUAUCAGUCACCUAAGAUUAGUGAACUUUAUCUCAAAAAAUAUCUUUCAAUUAAAUUCUCCAAGAUAAAAAGGAACCAAUGUAGGCCGGGUGCAGUGGCUCACACCUGUAAUCCCAGCACUUUUGGAGGCUGAGGUGGGCGGAUCACGAGGUCAGGAGAUCAAGACCAUCCUGGCUAACACGGUGAAACCCUGUCUCUACUAAAAAUACAACAAGAAAUUAGCCGGGCGUGGUGGCGGGCACCUGUAUAGUCCCAGCUACUCAGGAGGCUGAGGUAGGAGAAUGGUGUGAACCUGGGAGGCAGAGCUUGCAGUGAGCCAAGAUCGCGCCACUGCACUCCAGCCUGGGCGACAGAGCAAGAAUCCAUCUCAAAAAAAAAAAAAAAAAAGGAAGCAAUGUAAUAAGGUAAUUCUUAAGACACUUGUUUUUUAUCAUCUAUUCCCACAGGCAGUCACACACAUACAGGGCAUACUAACCAAAUGUCACCCUAAAGAUUCAGGGUGGAGGAAUUACUCAGCACAGUGGAGGAGUUAGAAAAUAAGUUGCUGGUGAGAUCAAUUUUGAUCGAAGAGAAUGAGAUGAGAAAAAAUGGAAUAACAGAUGACUAUCCUCUCCCUCUGCUCUGCGAGCUGGAGUCUACCUGCCAGCUUUUCUAUGUACCAACAUAAGUACCCACCAAAAACUGCUACACACACACACACACACACACAUACACGAAAAUUGGUUUGUUAUGGAAACCCAUAUGCACAACAGAAAACUAAAAAAGGACCUAGCCUUAUUUUUCCUUCAAACAGCUGCUCUCGGGGCCAAAACCAUGCUUCCUGAAAAUGAAGGGUAAUAAAUAAGAUAAAUGCAGCCCAGAGGAUGCCAACACAAAACCCAGACAGACAUAUUACAGAGAAACAGGGCAGCCUUAUAAAAAAAAAAAAAACCAAAACUGGAUCAUCUUACAUGAUAAUCCAAUAGUCCCACUUCAAUUAAUUACAUGUAAAUUUCUCGGACAAAUUAUUCCAAAAACAGGACCAGAGGAACAGGGAACAGAAAUAAGGAGUAAUGGAGCUGGUGAAGGCUGCAGGGAAGGGGAAAGGACAAAGCAGGACCUCCUGGAAGGGGAAAGGGAAGCUCCGGUUAAACAUAUAAAGAAUAGGCCAGGCUUGGUGGCUCAUGCCUGUAAUCCCAGCACUUUGAGAGGCUGAGGUGGAUGGUCAGGAGUUCGAGACCAGCCUGGCCAACAUGGUGAAACCCUGUCUCUACUAAAAAUACAAAAAUUAGCCGGGCGUGGUGGCGGGCACCUGUAAUCCCAGCUACUUGGGAGGCUGAUGUGGGAGGAUCACUGGAACCUGGGAGGCGGAGGUUGCAGUGAGCGGAGAUAGUGCCACUGUACUCCAGCCUCCACUACAACAGCAAGACUCUGUCUCAAAAAAAAAAAAAAAAAGAAUAAACCCAAAAGAAAACCCUGUUAGAUUUAAGAAACACACCAGUACCCUUUUAACAAACAGAUAUGACAAAAAGGAAAUGUUCCUGCUUUUCUCUUGGGAAUUAGGGGGCAGGAGAAAUGAAGGCUCACCUCCCUCUUCUUCCAUCAUGGAAGUUGGCUCCCCAAGCUCAAGUGUGCCUCCUGUGAGUUCCAGCAAGCAGUCUGCAAUGACAGCCACAAAAAUGUCUUGGCAGUAGAGCUAAUCUAGCAAUGGUGUGGAAAAUAAACACACAGGGCAAUUGAAACCAGAAUCCAGAGUCCUUGAUUCAACUGUUUACUAAUCAGAAAGGUCGGUAUAGUCGGUCCUUUUUCUACUACUGGCAAGUGAUUUUUGUAUAUUUUAUUACAAAUAAAACAAUAUUGCUUGACAGCAUCAUCUGUCAUCUUACAAAUAUACAACUACACAGUCCUAAAGUAAUAAUAUGUCUCUAGAACUGAGCUUUUCUUAAAAACAAACAAUAACUAACUAUACUAUUAUUAAGUCCUGCACCCUAAAUCUAUACAGCAACUUUAAUCAAUGUGGAAAUGAAAUUAUGAUUUAUUAAUUUACAUAAAAUUACUUUAUACAUUAAAGAAUAAUUUUUCAAAUUGUUUAAAAAAACAAAGUCUGAAGCUGUCAUUAUUGGGAUUCGUGGGACGUGGUUUGCUCUUCUAUCACCUGCUUCACAAUUUCUGCCAGUUUUAGUCGAUCUACUUUAUCUGUGAAUCCACGACCUGAAAGCAAAAAAAGAACAAGGUCAGUCCUCAAAUUCUUUGAGAGGUGGCAGACUCUUGACAGAGACCCAAUAAGGUCCACCUUACCAGUAUCAAAUUCACCCUCACCAGUGGAGGAACCACCCCCACCACUGAUCAAAAGCAGUUCAGAUCCCCCAUUUUUCAGGUAGCAAUUGUACAGUUCCACUAACCUGGCAGUAAAAAUCCAAAGCUCACAACACACAAGCAAACCACAAAGAGAGACAAGAUCUUUGUAAUACAUACAGCUGACAAAAGACUCAUAUCCAGAAUAUAUAAAGAAUUCCUAUACAUCUAUAAGAAAAACACAACUCAGUGAAAAAAAAUGGGCAAAAGACUUGAAUAGGUACUUCACAAAAGAGGAAAUCUAACUGGCCCAUAAACAUUUAAAACGUAUAUCAGUACGUUUUAAG
rnacentral:lncRNA from 1 species